rnacentral:rRNA from 1 species
UGGCUAUAUCAUAUUGACACAUUGGUUCCCGUACAGUUACCGAAGUUAAGCAGCAUCGAGCCUGGUCAGUACUGGGAUGGGUGACCGCUUUGGAAUACCAAAUGAUGUA